AUUCAAAUGACGAGUCCCAAAUAGGACGAAAAGCACGUCCUAUAU
rnacentral:hammerhead_ribozyme from 1 species